rnacentral:rRNA from 1 species
UGGGGAAUAUUGCACAAUGGGGGAAACCCUGAUGCAGCGACGCCGCGUGAGCGAUGAAGGCUUUCGAGUCGUAAAGCUCUGUCCUAUGGGAAGAUAAUGACGGUACCAUAGAAGAAAGCCCCGGCUAAUUACGUGCCAGCAGCCGCGGUAAUACGUAAGGGGCGAGCGUUGUCCGGAAUUAUUGGGCGUAAAGAGUGGGUAGGCGGCAAAUUAAGUCAGAUGUGAAAACUAAGGGCUCAACCCAUAGAUUGCAUCUGAAACUGAUAUGCUUGAGUCAAGGAGAGGAAAGUGGAAUUCCUAGUGUAGCGGUGGAAUGCGUAGAUAUUAGGAGGAAUACCGGUGGCGAAGGCGACUUUCUGGACUUGAACUGACGCUGAGGCACGAAAGCGUGGGGAGCAAACAGG